UAUCCAUGGUGUGGACAUUUAAUCAACAAAUCAUGAAAUCUCUCCCAAGUUUGAUAAAAUUCUUCAUCUACCUUCUCCUUAAAAUUACUAAUGGCAUCCCUCAUUGA
rnacentral:snoRNA from 1 species